rfam:Sneathia amnii strain SN35, complete genome.
UUGUAAAGAUAUGUUUGGCCGUAGAGCUUAUUCUUAUCGCUGAUUAUUUAAGGUAAUAAGGCAUAUUGAAGAA